rnacentral:sRNA from 1 species
UGACCUGCGAAGUAUCAUCGGUCGGACUGAUUUUACCGAUCGGUUCAUUGACCUGCGAAGUAUCAUCGGUCGGACUGAUUUUACCGAUCAGUCUAUUCUCCUUGCGUUUGCCCGAUCGGCUGUGUUAUGACACAUCCGACCGGUUAUCUACCUUCGGUAGAGGCACACGACACUCAUCUGCCUACCCUCGGUAGUAACAAACCCCGCGGUCGGCUACCUACCCUCGGUAGAACACUUUCUGCGGUCGGUUGCCUGCCCUCGG